UACGUAGGGUGCAAGCGUUAAUCGGAAUUACUGGGCGUAAAGCGUGCGCAGGCGGUUGUGCAAGACAGAUGUGAAAUCCCCGGGCUUAACCUGGGAACUGCAUUUGUGACUGCAAAGCUGGAGUACGGCAGAGGGGGAUGGAAUUCCGCGUGUAGCAGUGAAAUGCGUAGAUAUGCGGAGGAACACCGAUGGCGAAGGCAGUCCCCUGGGCCUGUACUGACGCUCAUGCACGAAAGCGUGGGGAGCAAACAGG
rnacentral:rRNA from 1 species